rnacentral:rRNA from 1 species
UACGUAGGGUGCAAGCGUUAAUCGGAAUUACUGGGCGUAAAGCGUGCGCAGGCGGUUAUGUAAGACAGGUGUGGAAUCCCCGGGCUUAACCUGGGAACUGCAUUUGUGACUGCAUCGCUGGAGUGCGGCAGAGGGGGAUGGAAUUCCGCGUGUAGCAGUGAAAUGCGUAGAUAUGCGGAGGAACACCGAUGGCGAAGGCAAUCCCCUGGGCCUGCACUGACGCUCAUGCACGAAAGCGUGGGGAGCAAACAGG